GCCUGCCAGAGGACCACAACUCUGUUUUUAGUGAUGUCUGAGUACUAUGUAAUAGUUAAAACUUUCAACAACGGAUCUCUUGGUUCUGGCAUCGAUGAAGAACGCAGCGAAAUGCGAUAAGUAAUGUGAAUUGCAGAAUUCAGUGAAUCAUCGAAUCUUUGAACGCACAUUGCGCCCUUUGGUAUUCCGAAGGGCAUGUCUGUUCGAGCGUCAUUAUAACCACUCAAGUCUGGCUUGGUAUUGGAGUUCGCUAUCGGCGGCCCCUAAAAUCAGUGGCGGCGCCUGUAGGCUCUACGCGUAGUAAUACUUCUCGCUAUAGGGUCCUGCGGGUUACUUGCCAACAACCCCCAAUUUUUUUUUAAGGUUGACCUCGGAUCAGGUAGGGAUACCCGCUGAACUUAAGCAUAUCA
rnacentral:rRNA from 1 species